UGAUCCAGCCAUGCCGCGUGAGGAAGAAGCCUUCGGGUUGAAAGCUCUUUUUGCCGGGAGAAACCCCUUCUCUGUAUAGGGUUGAUGGGAUGUCCCAAUACUCGAAGCUCACUUCAUGCCGUGCCCCGCGGCAAUACAAAAGAUGCGGUGCUUGUCCGGAUUUAUUGUGCUGAAAGGGUGCCUAGGCCGAGUAGUUUUGUAAGAGAGAAGUCCUGUCCCUUGGCUGCACAUGUGAACUGCAUACUGGACUGCUUGGCUACAGUUCAGGUAAGGGGGGUGGAAUUCGUGGCGUAGAAAUGCUUUGAUAUGACAUCAAGCAGAACUUGCAUGGGCAACGUGCUCCCCUGGAACUGACCCGAAGGUCCUGAACCAAGGGGAGCGGACCAGAUUAGAUUCCCUACCCUGCCACUCCCUAAACUAUGAUAACUCGAUGUUGGCGAUAUACUGUCAAUGCCCUGACUGAAGCAUUUAAUUAUCCACCUGGAGAGUACGACCAGUACGGUCACACUGAUAAGACUUGACGGAAUUGACGGCAACCCGAGGAGCAUGUGGAUGAUGUCGAUCAUACCCAUGCAACCUUACCUGGGCUACCUACCCUUGACAUGUCUGGAACCUUGCUGAUUCGCGAGGGAGCCUUCAGUAGCCGCAGCAUGGGUGCUGCCUGCUCGUCGCCAGCUCGGGUCGGGAGAUGCUCGGAUCGAGCGCGACCCCUAUUCUUACUUGGCCUCUAGUUGUGCUCAUGACUCUGGGAACACUGCCGACGCUGCCGGUGACGAAGGGGAGGAUGACGUCGAUGACUCACAGGUCCUCAUGGCCCUUGAUGACACACGUGUUACACUGGCUAGAACGGUGGGUACACACGUGGUGACCAGGCAGCUAGUCUAUCAAACCGGUCUCAGUCGAUCUUGAGGUCGGCCACUCGACUUCAUGAAGACUACGUGAAGUAGGAAUCGCUAGCAUCGUGAUCAGCAUGAUACGUUCCAAUAGCCUUGUAGACAC
rnacentral:rRNA from 1 species